rnacentral:rRNA from 1 species
AGAGUUUGAUCCUGGCUCAGGAUGAACGCUGGCGGUGUGCUUAAGACAUGCAAGUCGUGCGGUCCCGCAAGGGACAGCGGCGGACGGGUGAGUAACACGUGGAUAACCUGCCUGACUCCCCGGGAUAACAGCUCGAAAGGGCUGCUAAUACCGGGUAAGCUCACGGAGUCGCAUGGCUCCGGGAGAAAAGGUCCUGCAAGGGGGUGGGGUCAGAGGGGUCCGCGGCCCAUUAGCUAGUUGGGGGGGUAACGGCCCACCAAGGCGACGAUGGGUAGCCGGCCUGAGAGGGCGACCGGCCACACUGGGACUGAGACACGGCCCAGACUCCUACGGGAGGCAGCAGUCGGGAAUUUUGGGCAAUGGCCGAAAGGGCUGACCCAGCAACACCGCGUGAGUGAAGAAGGCCUUCGGGUUGUAAAGCUCUGUUACCCAUGAAGAACGGUGCUCAGAGGAAAUGCUGAGUACUUGACGGUAGUGGGGGAGGAAGCUCCGGCUAACUACGUGCCAGCAGCCGCGGUAAUACGUAGGGAGCGAGCGUUGUCCGGAUUUAUUGGGCGUAAAGGGCGUGUAGGCGGCUUGUUAAGUCUGGAGUGAAAAUCCGGGGCUCAACCCCGGAACUGCUUCGGAUACUGAUGAGCUUGAGUACUCUAGAGGGCAGUGGAAUUCCCGGUGUAGCAGUGAAAUGCGUAGAGAUCGGGAGGAACACCAGUGGCGAAGGCGACUGCCUGGGGAGAAACUGACGCUGAGGCGCGAAAGCUGGGGGAGCAAACGGGAUUAGAUACCCCGGUAGUCCCAGCCGUAAACGAUGAGUGCUAGGUGUAGCGGGUAUCGACCCCCGCUGUGCCGCAGUUAACGCAAUAAGCACUCCGCCUGGGGAGUACGGCCGCAAGGUUGAAACUCAAAUGAAUUGACGG